rnacentral:misc_RNA from 1 species
UGCAAGUUGUUUUAAAACCUCGACUGCCCAGGUAGGGACUUUCAUUCCAACUUCAAAUACAGGAGCCCGACCAGCUAUAGAAACAAAAUUCAGAGGCUCGGGAGAAGACGACAUAUUUUUCUCACAACUUGGUAGAGUGUGAACUAGCCGACUCUUCUCAAUAAGUUCAUUCUUAAUAUGGCAUUCCAGCAGCUGAUCAUCAAAACAAGUUUGUG